GAAGUAAAAUGUUGUGUUUGAUCGAAAGCAGUGCAAAGAUGUAGUGGAUUGUAGAAUGCUGCGUUACGAUUAUAUUCAUUUUUAUUCGAUUAUUUAAUAUUCCGUGGUUUUAUGACAGAAUACGUGCGAAAGAUAUACACAGUGUUAGUAAAUUAUUGGCGUCGUCGUUCUUAAACGUGCCUUUCCAAUCGAUCACGCGUAUCUUGUAAGUAGAUCAUAAAGAUCAUUACUGCAAUUAUCGAAACAUCUACUACUUCCGCUAUUACUUUCUGUCCUAGAAUAUGGUUAUAUUUCGCGGAAAAAUGUUGUUACACAAGUAUUGUAAAUUGCUCCAUAACACAAUCGCUUUUCGUUUCAACGAAUCAGACUAACCAACACGAUAUUCGAUCGAUAACUAUGGUCCAUUAAAAAAGAUUCUGCAAUAGAAAUAUUUUCCAAUCUUUCUUGCUUGCAAUUCGUGUUUCGCAUAAUUUAUGAUUGCAUAGUCGAGACGUGUCUAGCGAGCAACGCCGAUACCACUGUAAACUUAAUCUUCAUGCGAAAGGUCUAAACGCAGUGAUGCAUGACCCUCCGGGUUACCAGAACCUUAACCGCCAGACGUGACUUUAUUACACCACCAUCGAGUAGAUAACCGCAUUCGAAGGAUACCGGAUUCUUGACGUCGACUUGUUAUACACGGUAAAAGUCUCGAUCGCCGUUGUAUUGGCGGAAGGCGAGCGCGACAA